rnacentral:rRNA from 1 species
AUAUAGGUCAAGCUACAAAGGGCGCAUGGUGAAUGCCUUGGCAUCAGGAGCCGAUGAAGGACGUGAUAAGCUGCGAUAAGCUUCGGGUAGGCGCACAUAGCCUGAGAUCCGAAGAUCUCCGAAUGAGGAAACUCACAUGGGAAACCCCAUGUAUCAUUAAGUGAAUACAUAGCUUAAUGAAGGUAACCCAGGGAACUGAAACAUCUAAGUACCUGGAGGAAGAGAAAGAAAAAUCGAUUUUCUUAGUAGCGGCGAGCGAAAGGGAAAGAGCCCAAACCGGAAACUUGUUUCCGGGGUUGUGGACAUGACAUAAAAGUGGAGGCUAUUGUAACUGAAGAGAACUGGAAAGUUCCACCGUAGAAGGUAAUAGUCCUGUAAGUGAAACGAGAAGACCACGAGUUAUGAUCCAGAGUACCACGAGACACGUGAAACCUUGUGGGAAGCAGGGAGGACCACCUCCCAAGGCUAAAUACUACCUGAUGACCGAUAGUGAAGCAGUACCGUGAGGGAAAGGUGAAAAGAACCCCGGGAGGGGAGUGAAAUAGAACCUGAAACCGUGUGCCUACAACCGCUCAGAGCCCCUUAUGAGGGUGAUGAGGUGCUUUUUGUAGAACGAGCCAACGAGUUACGGUAUGUAGCAAGGUUAAGUACUUAAGGUACGGAGCCGAAGGGAAACCGAGUCUGAAUAGGGCGACUAGUUGCAUGCCGUAGACCCGAAACCGGGUGACCUAUCCAUGGCCAGGUUGAAGCGAGGGUAAAACCUCGUGGAGGACCGAACCACGUUGCUGUUGAAAAAGCAUGGGAUGAGCUGUGGAUAGCGGAGAAAUUCCAAUCGAACCCGGAGAUAGCUGGUUCUCUCCGAAAUAGCUUUAGGGCUAGCGUCGAGUAUGAGUAGUGGAGGUAGAGCACUGAAUGGGCUAGGGGGCAUAGCGCUUACCGAACCUUAUCAAACUCCGAAUGCCACAUACUUUGAGCUCGGCAGUCAGACUACGAAUGAUAAGAUCCGUGGUCAAAAGGGAAACAGCCCAGAUCGUCAGCUAAGGUCCCAAAGUGUAAGUUAAGUGGGAAAGGAUGUGAGAUUUCUAAGACAACUAGGAUGUUGGCUUAGAAGCAGCCAUUCAUUAAAAGAGUGCGUAAUAGCUCACUAGUCGAGAGAUCUUGCGCCGAAAAUGUAACGGGGCUAAACUUACCACCGAAGCUACGGG